rnacentral:rRNA from 1 species
AUAUCAAUAAGCGGAGGAAAAGAAACUAACAAGGAUUCCCCUAGUAACUGCGAGUGAAGCGGGAAAAGCUCAAAUUUGAAAUCUGGCAGUUUUUGACUGUCCGAGUUGUAAUCUAGAGAAGUGUUACCUGUGCUGGACCGUGUGCAAGUCUCCUGGAAUGGAGCGUCAUAGAGGGUGAGAAUCCCGUCUUUAACACGGACUACCAUGUACAUUAUGGUGCGCUCUCAAAGAGUCGAGUUGUUUGGGAAUGCAGCUCAAAAUGGGUGGUAAAUGCCAUCUAAAGCUAAAUAUUGGCGAGAGACCGAUAGCGAACAAGUACCGUGAGGGAAAGAUGAAAAGAACUUUGGAAAGAGAGUUAAACAGUAC